AAGUCGUAACAAGGUUUCCGUAGGUGAACCUGCGGAAGGAUCAUUAACACAAUUUUACUGUGAUAAAAUCCAUUGAGUUAUCGAAUACUCUUCGUGAUUCAAUGGUAUCCACCCCAUUAUUGACGAACUUUUGUCUAGAUGUUUAAAAAAAACAUAGAGCUCGUCUUUGUGUUCUUCAAAACAUUCUAAACCUUUGUCUCUACCCCAUCAAAACUUUUAACCCCUUUUACAACAUGUGUUAGACUGAAAUGAAAUAUUUUUCUUAUCAAAAAAAUGAUAAAAAAACAACUUUUAACAACGGAUAUCUUGGUUCUC
rnacentral:misc_RNA from 1 species